CCUACGGGUGGCAGCAGUGAGGAAUAUUGGUCAAUGGACGAGAGUCUGAACCAGCCACGUAGCGUGAAGGAUGACUGCCCUUUGGGUUGUAAACCUCUUUUAUAUGGGAAUAAAACAGGGUAUGCAUACCCUCUUGUAUGUACCAUACGAAUAAGGAGCGGCUAACUCCGUGCCAGCAGCCGCGGUAAUCCGGAGGAUCCGAGCGUUAUCCGGAUGUAUUGGGUUUAAAGGGCGCGUAUGUUGAUUGUUAAGUCAGUUGUGAAAGUUAGCGGCUCAACCGUAAAAUUGCAGAUGAAACUGGCAGUCUAGAGUACAGUAGAGGUAGGCGGAAUUCGUGGUGUAGCAGUGAAAUGCUUAGAUAUCACGAAGAACUCCGAUUGCGAAGGCAGCUCACUGGACUGCAACUGACACUGAUGCUCGAAGGUGUGGGUAUCGAACAGGAUUAGAUACCCGGGUAGUC
rnacentral:rRNA from 1 species